rnacentral:piRNA from 1 species
UGGGCCAGUACUGGAAGAUAGCUCCCAUGC